GAGGUCACAAGGGAUAUACAAGGAGAUAUCCCAUGGUGUAUGCUCUUUGCGGAUGAUGUGGUGCUAGUUGACGAUAGUCGGACGGGGGUAAAUGGGAAGUUAGAGUUAUGGAGACAAACCUUGGAAUCGAAAGGGUUUAGGCUUAGUAGAACUAAAACCGAGUACAUGAUGUGCGGUUUCAGUACUACUAGGUGUGAGGAGGAGGAGGUUAGCCUUGAUGGCCAGGUGGUACUCGGAAGGACACCUUUCGGUAUUUGGGGUCAAUGUUGCAGGAGGAUGGGGGUAUUGAUGAAGAUGUGA
rnacentral:rRNA from 1 species